rnacentral:rRNA from 1 species
UACAGAGGGUGCGAGCGUUGUUCGGAAUCAUUGGGCGUAAAGGGCGUGUAGGCGGUUUGUUAAGUCAUGUGUGAAAUCCCUCGGCUCAACCCUGGAACGGCGCUGGAUACUACGGGGCUGGAGUACUGGAGAGGAGAGCGGAAUUCCCGGUGUAGAGGUGAAAUUCGUAGAUAUCGGGAGGAACACCAGUGGCGAAGGCGGCUCUCUGGACAGUGACUGACGCCGAGACGCGAAAGCGUGGGUAGCAAACAGG